AGUGACGCGAGGCGGGCGCGCGCGGCGCAUUUCCGCCUCUGGCGAAUGGCUCGGCUGUAGUGCACGCCGCGGGCCCAGCUGCGACCCCGGCCCCGCCCCCGGGACCCCGGCCAUGGACGAACUGUUCCCCCUCAUCUUCCCGGCAGAGCCAGCCCAGGCCUCUGGCCCCUAUGUGGAGAUCAUUGAGCAGCCCAAGCAGCGGGGCAUGCGCUUCCGCUACAAGUGCGAGGGGCGCUCCGCGGGCAGCAUCCCAGGCGAGAGGAGCACAGAUACCACCAAGACCCACCCCACCAUCAAGGUCAGCACUGCGCCAGGGUGUGCGGGGAAGGGACUGUGGAACCCCAGCCCUCUGUGUUUGGGAGUCAGGUUUGGAUGUCUGGGCCUCUGUACUUUGGACAGAUCAAUGGCUACACAGGACCAGGGACAGUACGCAUCUCCCUGGUCACCAAGGACCCUCCUCACCGGCCUCACCCCCACGAGCUUGUAGGAAAGGACUGCCGGGAUGGCUUCUAUGAGGCUGAGCUCUGCCCGGACCGCUGCAUCCACAGGUGAGCUCCCUGCAGGCUAGGAGGCCCAGCAUGAGGGGACAGGAGGCGGGCUAU
rnacentral:sRNA from 1 species